CUAGUAUGAGAGGACCGGGAAGGACGCACCUCUAGUGUACCAGUUAUCGUGCCUACGAUAAACGCUGGGUAGCCAAGUGCGGAGAGGAUAACUGAUGAAAGCAUAUAAGUAGUAAGCCCACCCCAAGAUGAGUGCUCUCUCCUCCGACUUCCCUAGAGCCUCCGGUAUCACAGCCGAGACAGCGACGGGUUCUCCACCCAU
rnacentral:rRNA from 1 species